rnacentral:tRNA from 1 species
GCAGGGAUGACCGAGUGGCUGAAGGUGCACGCCUGGAAAGCGUGUAUACGAGAAAUUGUAUCGAGGGUUCAAAUCCCUCUCCCUGCG